rnacentral:rRNA from 1 species
UACGUAGGGUGCAAGCGUUGUCCGGAAUUAUUGGGCGUAAAGAGCUCGUAGGCGGUCUGUCACGUCGGCUGUGAAAACCCGAGGCUCAACCUCGGGCCUGCAGUCGAUACGGGCAAACUAGAGUGUUGCAGGGGAGACUGGAAUUCCUGGUGUAGCGGUGAAAUGCGCAGAUAUCAGGAGGAACACCGGUGGCGAAGGCGGGUCUCUGGGCCGAUACUGACGCUGAGGAGCGAAAGCGUGGGGAGCGAACAGG